AAACUUUCAACAACGGAUCUCUAGGCUCUUGCAUCGAUGAAGAACGCAGUGAAAUGCGAUAAGUAAUGUGAAUUGCAGAAUCUCAUGAAUCAUUGAAUCUUUGAACGCACAUUGCGCCCUAUGGUAUUCCGUAGGGCAUGCCUGUCUGAGCGUCA
rnacentral:rRNA from 1 species